rnacentral:rRNA from 1 species
GAUGUCUGGGAAACUGCCUGAUGGAGGGGGAUAACUACUGGAAACGGUAGCUAAUACCGCAUAACGUCGCAAGACCAAAGAGGGGGACCUUCGGGCCUCUUGCCAUCGGAUGUGCCCAGAUGGGAUUAGCUAGUAGGUGGGGUAACGGCUCACCUAGGCGACGAUCCCUAGCUGGUCUGAGAGGAUGACCAGCCACACUGGAACUGAGACACGGUCCAG